rnacentral:misc_RNA from 1 species
AAAAUACGAUUUUGUUGUUUUCAGUAAUUUUAUAUCUUUAGCAUGCUAUAGUGCGUCAACUGAUUUGGCGAUUCGGGCCCAUAUAGGACCGCCUCUUGACGGCAUCUCGCUCUUUCACCGCCACGCGCGCGCGAGCGAGAUACCUCACGUUUCACCAUGCUACGACUACAGGCUGCCACCGCUCUUCGCUGCGCGUGGUCCCUGCACGCCUCGCAGCGCUGCGCCGGAGCGGCGGCGUUGCUACGGCAACCGCAUCCCGCACGCGUGAUUGGCCGAGAAGAGUCGACGGCGCCGCGGCGGAAGUCCCCGGGAAUCGUCAAGUCGGACGGACGAUCGGGAGGGGAAGUGACAACGAGCCUGGGAGAGAAAGUGAAGCAGACGAGCAAAGAUCUGACGUGGAUAGUAGUUAUCGUUGGAGGAGCAGGCAUUAUAGGUCUCAUGUUUUACUACAUAUUCUAUGAGCUGUUUUCUAAAGACAGUCCUACGGGAGUGUAUGGCGACGCCUUGAAACGCUGCAAGAAGAAUAUGAAGGUGACGGACGUGCUCGGCGAACCGCUGAAGGCUUACGGCGAGAUGUCCAGCAGGGGGCGCCGGCGGCACGUGAGCAACACGGUGUUCGUGGAACGAGACGGAACGAAGCACAUGAGAAUGAGGUUCUACGUGGAAGGUUCCGUGCGGAAGGCGACCGUUCACGUCGAGAUGAGAGAGAAUGAUCGUGGAAAAUACGAAUAUCUGUAUUUGAUCGUCGAACUGGAUGGAUAUCCGCAGAGAACUAUCGUCGUGGAAGACAAUAGAGGUCUAAACCUGGUGAAAGUGUAGAAAACAACAGAGUCGUAGAUUUGGUGAAAGUGUAGUAAACAAAAGGUCUAGACUAUGUGAAAGAGUGGGAGGAGAAAGAGUUAAAAGACUGUGUGAAACUGUGGCAUACAAGAGACCUAGACUAUGUGGAAGUGUAGAAGAAAACAGAGAUGAACUCCUAAUGAAAGAUUAAAAGACAACAGGGGUCUUAUCUAUGUGAAAAGGGUAGAUGACAGAGUCAUAAACCUUGUGAAAGUCUAGAAUCGAUGACAUCACUGCGGUUCGAAACCGCGACAGGCGUAUUUGCCCGCGAGAGAUUUUUUAGCGCCACCUACCAGACUGAACUUCGACUAGAAACCACGUCGAGUGUAUUCGCCCGCGAGGGGGCGUUCAGCGCCACCUACCAGACGGAAUUUGCGACGAUCGGAGCAAGGGAGCGAUUUUUUGCCGUUGGCAUUUUUUUCGCAGGAUAGUUGCGAGAGAUUGUCGAUAACGAGACGUAGCAGAGCGUAUAACGAGGAUGAAAUGACUGCUCACCUCACAGGAUGCUGUGUGUGUGUGUGUGCUGUGGAUCAAGGACAUAUCCAAGGUCACGACGAUGCCGAGAAAACGGCCGUUCUCGCUGCGUGCGGUCAAACCUGCAUAUUAGGGCCGUUCGAGGGAUGCGCCCAAAUUGACCUUUGUAGACAGAUUUUCAGUCUAUAGCGGUCGUUCCGUUACAUAACUGCCAGUCAAAGGAACGGCCAAAUAUGUCAUUUAUAUACAGGUUGUAUGCGUGGUGUACCUGUAUCGCUGCCCUCUCGAGCGAUGCACCAAGUGGCCUUUGUAGACAGGUGGCUGUUCUAUAGAGGGAGUCGCUAACAGAGGUUUGACUGUAGUUAGAUUCGUGGCGUGAAUAAUACAAAGCAAUGUCCGUGAUAAUGAAGAGAAAGCAAGAGAGAAAACAUGGGCCCGUUGUCUGAAACAAAACUAGUUAAACUUAGCAUUCAGUCUUAAAUACAAACUUUUUCUCUUAGAUCGUCGACGGAAACACGGCAGCAUAAGUUACGAGAGCGAAAAAUUCUACCAAAUUUCCUCGCGACUUUACGAAACAAAGUUCUGUCGACGAAGGGUUAACGUUGAGACUAAUGUUAAGAUUUAUUAAACUUGUUUCCGACAACAGGGCCCCCGACAUUCACAACGUGCUUCCUACAAAAAGUGGAGUGAAGGACGUCCGCAAUCGAUUUCAAACACGCAAAGAUGAUUAGCUAAACGUGAAUAAAGAGCGAGAGACAAAUACAUUUAGCUAGUUGUGCAAACGUUUUCAAAUAAAGUGUUAUUAUUAU